rnacentral:rRNA from 1 species
UACGGAGGGUGCGAGCGUUAAUCGGAAUCACUGGGCGUAAAGCGCGCGUAGGCGGCUUUUCAAGUCAGGGGUGAAAUCCCACGGCCCAACCGUGGAACUGCCUUUGAAACUGUAGAGCUUGAGUGUCGGAGAGGGUGGCGGAAUUCCAGGUGUAGGAGUGAAAUCCGUAGAUAUCUGGAAGAACACCAGUGGCGAAGGCGGAUGACUGGACGGCAACUGACGGUGAGGCGCGAAAGCGUGGGGAGCAAACAGG